rnacentral:rRNA from 1 species
UAGGGAAUUUUCCACAAUGGACGAAAGUCUGAUGGAGCAACGCCGCGUGCAGGAUGAAUGCCUUCGGGUUGUAAACUGCUUUUAUCUGUGACGAAUAUGACGGUAGCAGAUGAAUAAGGAUCGGCUAACUCCGUGCCAGCAGCCGCGGUCAUACGGAGGAUCCAAGCGUUAUCCGGAAUUACUGGGCGUAAAGAGUUGCGUAGGUGGCAGAGUAUGUCUGUAGUGAAAGCGUGUGGCUCAACCAUAUACA